rnacentral:tRNA from 1 species
GGUGGGGUUCCCGAGCGGCCAAAGGGAGCAGACUGUAAAUCUUCCGUCAUCGACUUCGAAGGUUCGAAUCCUUCCCCCACCACCA